GAUUUGUACCGAAUCAUAGAUAGGUUAUGGUUGUACACUACUUUGAGUCGGUACAAAUCAU
rnacentral:pre_miRNA from 1 species